rnacentral:rRNA from 1 species
CCCGGCCUUGACAUACUAAGAACUUUCCAGAGAUGGAUUGGUGCCUUCGGGAACUUAGAUACAGGUGCUGCAUGGCUGUCGUCAGCUCGUGUCGUGAGAUGUUGGGUUAAGUCCCGNAACGAGCGCAACCCUUUUCCUUAUUUGCCAGCGGGUCAUGCCGGGAACUUUAAGGAUACUGCCAGUGACAAACUGGAGGAAGGCGGGGACGACGUCAAGUCAUCAUGGCCCUUACGGCCAGGGCUACACACGUGCUACAAUGGUCGGUACAAAGGGUUGCUACCUCGCGAGAGGAUGCUAAUCUCAAAAAAGCCGAUCGUAGUCCGGAUCGCAGUCUGCAACUCGACUGCGUGAAGUCGGAAUCGCUAGUAAUCGCGGAUCAGAAUGCCGCGGUGAAUACGUUCCCGGGCCUUGUACACACCGCCCGUCACACCAUGGGAGUUUGUUGCACCAGAAGUAGGUAGUCUAACCGCAAGGAGGACGCUUACCACGGUGUGGCCGAUGACUGGGGUGAAGUCGUAACAAGGUAAGCGUAGAUGA